GUGACACUAUAAGUAAGGCCUUUGCCAGUGUGGUAGCUUUUUACAAGUGAUCAAGAUGGCCAAAAGAUAAUCUGCUGAGAGGGUCUUGCAAUUUAUUUGGGAAGAGGGAGAAGCUUCUGAAGAUGUCGAGGAAGAGGUUUCAGAAUUGUAACAUCAUAUUGCUGAAAAUUCAGAGUCUGACAGUGACUUUGAGGAAGAAGAGGAGGUCGACCACCAAUUAGAACCAAAACGAAGAAGAGCAGCCCGUCGGCAGCCAGCUCCGGUACCAGCCCGUCAGCAGCACAGGUACGCUACACAGGGAUGGGAGAAUCUGUGACCAGGAACAUCAAAAGCCUCAGAUACCACAAAAGGAGGGGUGGAGAACACUGACAAGCUGGUGACUGCCUACUGCUCUAAAAGAAGUCCCUACGCUGGCUGCUGGUGAUAUUCUUUGACAUGAUGGACAUCUCAGUGUACAACGCCUUUGUCAUGUUGAUGGUACUGAACACAGAGUGGAACAAGGGGAAGCUCCAGAGAAAACGCCUCUUUCUUGAGGAACUGGGAAAGACCCUGAUGAGACCUCAAAUCCUCAAAAGACAACAUGUUCCAUGAACACCAGCUUCUGCCGCCAUUGGGAGGAGAAUUCAAGAGGAGAAUGCUGGUGCCCCAUCCACCCAACCUACAAAACCACCAUCUGCUGAACCUGAAUGCUGCGUUGCCUCCAGCCAUGUCUCAGAUAAGUGAUCCAAACAUUGCCUUUGCCUACCUGCGGCCAGCCUGCGUCCAGCUCACCAAAGAUCCCUCUGUGACCAACGUGGAGACGCUGAGGGGACAGCUGAAAGACAUCAACGAUGCAACUCUGCAGAAGCUUCAGGAGUACAUCCUCUUUCCUCUUCGCUUCGUCCUGAAAGUCCCCGGACCUAAAAAGGAGAAGCUGGUGCAGGCUGUGGCAGAGGCGAUAAGCUUCAUGCUGGAGAACACGUGUGUCCAGAGCUGGGACACUCUCCGGGACCUCUUCUCCGAGCUGUGUCUGUGUCUCUGCUGUCCCGCAGACCCCGGGCGGCCUGCAGAGGUGUCUGAGGAGCUGAAGCUGGCUCUGGUUGUGUGCCUGGAUGCUCUGCUUCAUGCGGCUUAUGGAGAUAUCGUCUUUAGACUCUAUGAAUCGAUCAUGCUGCUUGAACUCGGAGCUGCAGUUUCUCUACUGCUGGCUUUGAGUGAAAAAGAGAAGUCUCGAGAUAUACAGAGAGCCGCCUUGAAGUGCAUCCAGACGUUGGCGCUGCAGUGCGACUGCACCCAGGUGCACGUGUCACCGUCUCCUGACAAGCGAUGCUCUGUGGGAGACACCAUGGCUUCAUUUUUACCUGGGAUUACCACGACUGUUACGAGGAUCAUUGCAGGAGAUCCGAGACAAGGCCAUACAGUUACAGUCCGGGCCAUUAAGGUGUGGUCCAUGAUGGUCGGGCUGGUCAUGGAAGACGCCCAGCUGCGCUCCAGGAAGUCCCUGCAGCCGGUCUCUGCAGAGCUGGGGCGGAUCGGACAGCUGCUGGUCCAGAGAACUCCAGACUGGGUGAAAAGCACAGCAGAGAAGCUGUCCGUCCUGCUGAAGAGGAUCAUCUCCUGCACGUCCGCCCAUCUGCACUGGAGGGUGAGGCUGGAGCUGGUGCAGCUGGCUGACCACCUGCUGGCCUCGUGCAGUCAGUCCCUCAGAGAGUGUGUGGGGCCACUGCUGGAGGUGCUGGUGGGAGCGGUGAACGACGAGGAGCCCAGAGUCAGAGAAAGGUGUGAGGCAGCUCUCAGGGAGGUGUCCCAGCGGAGUCAGAGCUGCAGCAGCAAUACUCAAACCUUCUCAGACGUCCUGUCUGAGAAUCUCCUCUCUUUAGCCUCCUCCCUUCCGAGGCUGAUGAGGACUUCUGAUGAUCAGAAGAAGCUGUUUGUCCUGAAGGCGUUUCUGGGGUACCUGAAAGUGCUGGGACCGCUCGUCUCUGUGGUUCUGAACUCGGCUGCACAUCUGGAGAUCAUUUCUAAAGCACUGAUGCAGGUGCUGGAGUUGGACGUAACGGAUGUUCGGAUCGUGGAAGAACGGAGCUACACCGAUGCAGCAGAGAGAAGCUCCCAUGCUCACGUACAAAAGAAGCAUUUCCUCUACUUCACGGACGAGAAGAUCUUCUGUGCUCUCAUGGAGAUUUGCAGAACUUUAGGUUACCAUGGAGACAUCUACCUUCUGACCGAUCACUUCCUGGACUUGUACCGACAGUCGUCAGCGUGCAGAAAGCAGGCUGCCAUGGUCCUGAAUGAGGUCAUCAGAGGGGCUGCAGGCAUCUCUGUGGCAGCUCGCCGUUUGGGCGAUGAGGGACCCUCCACCUCCAGGGAGGAUCUUAAAGCAGCCGCCGUGUCUGUCAUGGAGGAGUACACCAGUCUGAACAACUGGCACCUGAUCACUGCGAGUGAGGAGACGGAGCGGGACCGGCAGGAUCAGCAGCUCCUCAGCUCCUCCAGACUUCUCUCCAUAUCUAGCAGUGAUGUCAUUACUGCAAACUCCGCCUCCCUUCCCGCCUCAUCAACCUUCGCCACGAUCCAGCAGCUCAACAGCAACAUCUGGCAGCUGUGCAUCCAGCUGGAGGGCGUGGCCUGCUUCGCUCAGGCGCUGGAGCGCGACUUCCGUCCCCUGCUGAUGACAUCACUGUACCCGGUGCUGGAGAAGGCUGGUGAGGAGACGCUGCUGGUCAGCCAAGCCGCACUGAACGCCAUGGAAGACAUCAGCGAGGCCUGCGGCUACUCCGCCCUGAAGGAGCUGAUCAACCAGAACUCCGAUUAUCUGCUCAAUGACAUCUCACUGAACCUGCAGAGGCUCAGCGAGCACCCACAGGCUCCUCGAGUGCUGGCCGUGAUGCUGACUCACUCUGACUGCAGCCUGCUGCCUCUGGUCGGAGACAUUGUUCAGGAUGUCCUGACGGCUCUGGAUCUCAGCUACAACCGCUCAGCUGCUCUUUUCUGCUCACUGCUGCAGGCUCUCAUGAAGGCUCUGGUGAGGUGGUUUCCUGCCGCGCACAGCAGAACCAACAUUCCUGCCCGUUCCUCCUCUGAGCAGGAGGAAUUCUGCAUUCGCCAUUUCUUCCUUGAAUACAGAAAGCAGAAAGAACUGUCAGAAGGCAUCGGGAUCGAGGAGGACGACGCUGCAGACCUUGCAGAGGUCCCUCCCCCCUCACAGUGUGAGGCGGUGGAUGAUGCUGGCGGCUCUGACGUGAAAGCUGAACUUCCACUACACCUCAGCAUCACCAAAGAUGUCAUGGAGCGCUGCAUUCACCUCGUGUCUGACCCCGCCCUCCGCCUCCGGCUGAAGUUUCUGGACCUUCUGGAUCUCUGCGUGCUCGUGUUGAGUGAGAAGGAGGACGAGCUGCUGCCGAUGGCUCAUCGCUGCUGGCCGGCCCUCCUGCAGAGACUCACCGCUGAUGACCAGUUAGUCGUCCUCCGAGCCUUCAGGGUGCUGUGCACUCUGGGAGAGACGUGCGGGGACUUCCUGAGGAGGAGGGUUUCUAAGGACGUCCUGCCGAAGGUGACCUGGUCUCUGUCCCGGCAGGCCCCGGUCAGCGCCAGAGCCGGGCCCGUCUACACGCACAGCCUGGCCUACAAGCUGCAGCUGGCGUACCUGCAGGGGCUGGGCUCCCUGUGCCAGAGGCUGGAUCUGGGCCUGUCACCAUUUUGUCUGAUGUCACCGUGAAAAGGGUCUAUAAUAGCCGACAGAGAAACCAGUUGGUGACCACAACUGGGACUAAUGAAAGACUGCUCUUCCCUUUUGGCUUCAGAAUCUGUCAUAGAAGUUGGAUCUUGUAUCUUCAGGAGACAUGGAGACGUUCAGCUCUAGUGACAUCUGAUUUAAUGUCAAAGUGGGAGCAUGCAGAAAUGAUAAAGACUGAGACCUAAAACAGAUCCUUGUGGUAUCCCACGUUGUAUUCAUGAAUAAUUAAAUGUACUGUCAUGAAUGUAGCAGAAUUUCUGCAUCUGAAAAAGAGCCGUCCUUUCUUUUCCUCUCUGGAACUUGAAGGAGAGGAAGAUUUGGGGGCUGGAAGUGGAGAGAAUAUGAAGGAGAAACAGUCAGCGGCUGCAGCUCCACUCAAGUGAAUACUGAUUUGGCUACAGCUUACCUCUGGGACGACUGCAGCAAGCCAAUUACCUAGCCUUAGUCAGAGAGAGCAGGACAGAAACACAGACUGACUGAAGCCGGUGAUACGUUUCAACCCCAGCUCUCAUUUCAGGCCCAACUCCACAAAAAUCCACCUGAAACCGGAGCUCUCCUCUUCGGAACGUAUUUGCUUCCCUGCAAGUGCAGCUCAGGAAGAAGAGGAAGAGGAGGGAUGAAAGCGCUCGUUAAAUAAUCCCAUUCUCCUCUGAAAUGUGCGCCGCUGCUUUUAUUCUGGACGGCGGCGAAGCGGAGUGUGGCUGGAAUUGGUAAAUAGGGUAAGCAGAGAGACAGACAUGUUUUGAAAUGAGGCUUGAAAGGCAGCCCAGUUUGCAGCUUAGGGAAUCACUAAAUGUCUGCUGGGAAGGAUGGAGGGAGAGUGAUGGGAAGAGGAGAUGAAAGAGUGGAGAGAAGUCAAACGGAUGGAGGAGCUGGCAGGGUUGUGACAGAUGCAGUCGGUGGAUUGUGGGGAGGAGAACAGAGGCAGGUUUGUCAGAGCACAUCAAACUGGAGGAAACAAGGAGAGGAAAAAACACACCAACAAUGGAGGGAAGAGACUGUGCAGACGCCCGUCCUCAUCCAUCGCUGCCGAUUCUCUGCACUCUUUAGGAGGUGAAGCAGACCUGGAUGCUGUUUUUGAAGCGUGCUUACCCUACCUGAGCUGCAGACAGCCAAUCAGACUGCAGGAGGCCGGCCUGAGCGUCUUCCAGCACCUGAUCCAGGUGGAUCCCGACACCUUCUGGUUUACCCUC